rnacentral:tRNA from 1 species
GCUUGUGGCUCAGCGGUAGAGUGCUCACCUAACACGUGUGAGGCCCUGGGUUUGAUCCUUAGCACAACA